rnacentral:rRNA from 1 species
GACGAACGCUUGCGGCGUGCCUAUACAUGCAGUAACCUGAGAGAGGACUUGCUCUUCUUGGAUGAGUUGCGAACGGGUGAGUAACGCGUAGGUAACCUGCCUGGUAGCGGGGGAUAACUAUUGGAAACGGUAGCUAAUACCGCAUAAAGUAGAUGUUGCAUGACAUUUGCUUAAAAGGUGCAAUUGCAUCACUACCAGAUGGACCUGCGUUGUAUUAGCUAGUUGGUGAGGUAACGGCUCACCAAGGCGACGAUACAUAGCCGACCUGAGAGGGUGAUCGGCCACACUGGGACUGAGACACGGCCCAGACUCCUACGGGAGGCAGCAGUAGGGAAUCUUCGGCAAUGGACGGAAGUCUGACCGAGCAACGCCGCGUGAGUGAAGAAGGUUUUCGGAUCGUAAAGCUCUGUUGUAAGAGAAGAACGAGUGUGAGAGUGGAAAGUCUCACACUGUGACGUAUCUUCCAGAAA